AUUGAACGCUGGCGGCAUGCCUUACACAUGCCAGUCGAACGGUAACGGGCCUUCGGGUGCCGACGAGUGGCGAACGGGUGAGUAAUACAUCGGAACGUGCCCGAUCGUGGGGGAUAACGAGGCGAAAGCUUUGCUAAUACCGCAUACGAUCUACGGAUGAAAGCAGGGGACCGCAAGGCCUUGCGCGGACGGAGCGGCCGAUGGCAGAUUAGGUAGUUGGUGGGAUAAAAGCUUACCAAGCCGACGAUCUGUAGCUGGUCUGAGAGGAUGAUCAGCCACACUGGGACUGAGACACGGCCCAGACUCCUAAGGGAGGCAGCAGUGGGGAAUUUUGGACAAUGGGCGCAAGCCUGAUCCAGCCAUGCCGCGUGCAGGAUGAAGGCCUUCGGGUUGUAAACUGCUUUUGUACGGAACGAAAAGCCUUCUUUUAAUACAGGAGGGUCAUGACGGUACCGUAAGAAUAAGCACCGGCUAACUACGUG
rnacentral:rRNA from 1 species